rnacentral:rRNA from 1 species
CUCGUAGUUGGACCUGUGUUCCACGCUGUCGGUUCGCCGCCCGUCGGUGUCAACUGGCAUGUCCUGUGGAACGUCCUGCCGGUGGCGGUCCGGGCUUUCGGCUUGCGUAAGGGCUCACGCCCGAAGCAGGUCGGACAGUACCGGCCGCCGGUCCAAUCCCGCCACGGUGCUCUUCACCGAGUGUCGAGGUGGGCCGGCACGUUUACUUUGAACAAAUUAGAGUGCUUAAAGCAGGCUGGUGUCCGCCUGAAUACUGUGUGCAUGGAAUAAUAGAAUAGGACCUCGGUUCUAUUUUGUUGGUUUUCGGAACCCGAGGUAAUGAUUAAUAGGGACAGGCGGGGGCAUUCGUAUUGCGACGUUAGAGGUGAAAUUCUUGGAUCGUCGCAAGACGAACCUAAGCGAAAGCAUUUGCCAAGUAUGUUCUCGUUAAUCAAGAACGAAAGUUAGAGGUUCGAAGGCGAUCAGAUACCGCCCUAGUUCUAACCAUAAACGAUGCCAGCCAGCGAUCCGCCGAAGUUCCUCCGAUGACUCGGCGGGCAGCUUCCGGGAAACCAAAGCUUUUGGGUUCCGGGGGAAGUAUGGUUGCAAAGCUGAAACUUAAAGGAAUUGACGGAAGGGCACCACCAGGAGUGGAGCCUGCGGCUUAAUUUGACUCAACACGGGAAACCUCACCAGGCCCGGACACCGGAAGGAUUGACAGAUUGAGAGCUCUUUCUUGAUUCGGUGGGUGGUGGUGCAUGGCCGUUCUUAGUUGGUGGAGCGAUUUGUCUGGUUAAUUCCGAUAACGAACGAGACUCUAGCCUGCUAACUAGGCGAUUCCGGUACCCACAAUAGUGUUACCGGCGAUUCAAUUUCUUCUUAGAGGGACAGGCGGCUCCUAGCCGCACGAGACUGAGCAAUAACAGGUCUGUGAUGCCCUUAGAUGUCCUGGGCCGCACGCGCGCUACACUGAAGGAAUCAGCGUGUCUUCCCUGGCCGACAGGCCCGGGUAACCCGUUGAACCUCCUUCGUGCUAGGGAUUGGGGCUUGCAAUUGUUCCCCAUGAACGAGGAAUUCCCAGUAAGCGCGAGUCAUAAGCUCGCGUUGAUUACGUCCCUGCCCUUUGUACACACCGCCCGUCGCUACUACCGAUUGAAUGAUUUAGUGAGGUCUUCGGACUGGUGCGCGGCGAUCGGUUUAUACUGCCGGCCGCCGAUGUUGCUGGAAAGAUGACCAAACUUGAUCAUUUAGAGGAAGUAAAA